UUUCUGUUUUUGCUGAAAGACAACAGCUGCUUGGUUUAUCAGAAGUUGAUACUGUUUCAGAAUUACUACACAUUUGACUCUGCAUAUUUGGAAAUGUUCACUGUAACGCUUCUUUGUUUGCCAAACAUAUAAAUACUGACAUUUAGUUUUUACUUAUGUUUGUUCAGAUUAAAGGGAUAUUCUGUUGUAAAUUUAAAUUAUGGUCAAACACACUAACACCGAGUUAGACAACCCCUUGAGAGAUGAAUGUUGCUGACUGCAUGUUUCUCUAGUCAUACCAACUCGAUCACAGAGUGCCGUGGAUCAUUUCCAUUAAGGAAUAAUCAUCAUAAUAAUUAUUUGCACUGCAGACACUGUAGUUCUUCUGCCUCAGUGUCUCGGUCUGAUUGCAUUUCCAUUAAGUAAUAAUCAUACAUUUCCUUCCUUGAGCUGCGAAACUCCGCUGCACUUGGUGAUCGACUUAUCAGGGCUCCCCCACAUAUGCUGAAGGAGAGUGGGUGAAAUGCGUUUGGUCCCUUUGCUAAAGAAGCCAGGCAAAGCUGAAAAGAUGUUUGAUGAGCUCCUCCCCUCCCUUUCUUGUGCAUACAUGAGAGCCAAAGCAGCAGCAAAAUAAAUACGAUUAAGAUAAAUAAAUCAAAAAUCCCCCAAAACAACUAUACAAUGCCCGGCUAUAAGAGGGGGGAGCUCCUGCCCUCCCUUUUCAUGUGCAUGCAUACAUGAAAGCCAAGGCAGCAGCAAAUAAAUACGAUUAACAUAAAUAAAUCAAAAGCCCCCCAGAACAACCAUACCAGGCAACCCUCCCUAGCUUCAUGAGCUACAUGAAAGCACCUACAGGGGAGGGAGAGCAGCAGCCAGCAGCAAGAAACAAUGAAGCAACCUACCCACCUCCAAAGCUUGUGUAGUAUAGGGUACCCUCAAACAUGAUCAUGGAACAGGAUUAAUUUCGUCCAUACACAUAUUUAUAAUUGGGAAUAUGCUUAAGAAUACAAUAUAUAUGGGACAGAGUUAUGGCACAGCAGCAUUUUUCUGGUAAUGGUGGUCUGAGUCCCUGUGAGUGCACUUCAGCAGUGUAAUGGACCAGCAAGAGAGUCUUUUUGUCUUAUAGAAGCAGCCCGUUGGAGAUACGCUUAAGAAUACAAUAUAUAUGGGACAAAAUUAUGGCGCAGCAGCAUUUUUCAAAGUACUUAUAGCUAAUUGAGUAUAAGCGUUUCUUGAGCCUCAGGCCUGAGGUAUUAUUCAUAGGCUGAUGAGGACCAUUGACCCGUAGGCUUGAACGUUGAGACAGGGACAAUGGAGGAUGCCAUUGCAGCUGCAUCUAUGCGUAGAGUCGCGCUCAAGUGGGAGCAAGCAGGAUUGGCAGAGGUGAGCAGAAACCAUGAUCUGGAUAUAGGUUUCCCUUCUUGGGUGGCAGAGAGAGACUCUUGCUAGCUGGCCAGUGGCUGGCCUCUCAGGCAGCGGGACAUGGAGGACAAAGGACAAAGUCAGAGUUUGUUCGAGAAAUGAAUAAAUACGAAUAGAUUCGAAAAAAUGAAUAGGGUUUUCAAGCAGACUGGUGGUGGAUGGUUCAGACAGCACAUAUGGAACUGAAUAUCUGCUACAAGUCCUUUAAUUUUUGCGAGAUUCAAAACAGUGGACUAUUAAUGCACAUGCAAUUGAUAUAUUUACAGCAUUGGAGCUUCAGAGAAGGUGGUGCAAAAGAGGUGAAGUGAGACCAUGCAGAAUCAUAUUAACUUAAAUGCUGAUUUUGCUUAACCAGCUCUUGUAUAGCAGGCCGCAGAAAGCACAGAAGUUUGCAAGACUGUGCUCAGACUAACACAGUCUCAAUGAAUGGGGAACAGGUCAGGCUGGAUGGCGCUGACUCCGGGCACAGCUGGCAGAGUUUUUGUAGUUCGAAUUGGGACAGGAAUCAGUAUUUUGGUUAUCCUAGCCUGGAAUAUGGACUGCUCAAAUAAUGAAAAUUACCCAAGACAGGUAAGGUGCCUCAUAAAACUAUUAGUAAAUGGAACUGAAGAGUGCCCUUGUUAAUGAUAUUAACAGUUGCCUCAUUGUCACGAAAAGAAAAUCUGUUUCCUGGACCAAUGUUUACCCCAUAGGAGGCCAGAGAUGACAACUGGAUACAGGAGGAGAGCAGUUAAAGACAUGUUUUUUGGCAGAGAAGACAGUUCAUUUGGCCAAAUAUAAGCAACCAUUGAUUAUUAAAACCCCGUAAACCAACAGAUGGUGCUGUGACUGUAAAUAGCUGAGAUCGCGGGAGAAUAUUCCGGAUAGUCACUAUAAGAGAAUGAGAUGCCUUUCCAUUUUUACAUAGAAGUGACAAAACUGCAGCUUGGAUCUGCAACCUUUAUCUAAGCUUACUUUAUCAUGAAGUUGCUCAACUGAUUUGGCGAGGUUGAGAAGUGUAGAUAUAAAGGACCGUCCUUGAGGCAUGACACGCAUGGCAAAUUAAUAUGCCCAAGCAAAGAGAGCUCUUUUCGGUAGAUGUACUGCCUCUUGAGCAUGUCACGUUACUUCUCUACUUAGAUGCUUUUUCCGCGAGUAUUUAUGCGUAGCUAUGCCUAAAGGAUUAAUGCUGGUAAUUGAAAGGGUGACUUAGCAUAGCGGCCAAACGUGAAUCCUUUCUUAACCCCCUUUCCAUCAACUAUUUCAGGAUCUUUCAUUGCAGAUUGGAAAUUAAUUUUUACAAACAAACGACACUUUUGGCAGAUAGACCAAACCUGCUAGGAACCCCUGAACCAGUCCUGUUAUCAAAUAAUGCACAACAGCAGUUGGGAUGCUUUACCAGUGCCUUCCCCAGCUCAGGGAUAUUUGACAGAGUAGACAGCUUUAUUCUCCUUUUUUACAAGGCGGGUGCAUCUUGGGCGUGGUGCUUUUUUAGAUAACCGUCCCUGCAGUAACUUGGCCUUGCUGAGUUGUAGGCUUAGAAGAAGCUUGUUGGUUGGCCUGUAGCCACAGUUUUAGGGCACAGAUUGGAGGUGUGAGCAGGGGAUAUUAUAAGAUAAGGUUCUUGCAUGUACUGAACCGUAGGCUUUGAACAAGAUGAGUAUACCCACGUUUAGCGGGGAGCUGACUCUGAUGCCACAGUAUCAUCAUCUGCUGCAACUCUCUAUUGAACAUAAAUCUGUUGAUCUAUUUAUUUAUCAUUUUGACUUAUUUCUGCAUUUAAGAUUGAAGCAGCUGUCUCUUUAAAGUUCCCUCCUUCUGCAAAAGGCGGGAGGCGGGCCCCAGCGCCUAGGCAACUAGUGUCCAAUCAAAAGUGCGCCUUGAGCUUCCAUUUCUUGAGUUUAUAAGUGGAAGCAAAUAUGACUCACUCUCAAGGAGCCUGGUCCUAUUGGAUUUCUAUGGUUUCAAUGCAGAGUGCAGACUGACGUGCGGCAACACACUAAGCAAAUGUAGCCCACUUACACUACAGGGGUUAAGGUUUACCACUGUGUACCGGCUGUAAACUGCUUAUUAUGACUUGGCGUACCACUGCAUACCAGCUUACUGGCUUACUUUCACCCUUGGGUGUGAGAUAGACCCCCAGAUUGAGCAGGAAAAAGCUUGAUGCUUGGUAAAAUGUCUACUGAUUAGAGCCAGGUCGACUAUAGACUAAUCAAGUCUUUGGUUGAAUCUUUGAAUGUACAUAGCAGUUUUGCUGAAAAUGAUUUGUGAUGUCACUAGAAUAAUAUCCUUCCAUUAGUCAUGGCUGAAUCAGAAAUAAUGGCGAUAUAUGUGUCCAGUUCAGUUCUGCGUGCUGAAAAUACUUCACAUAUGACAUUUCCAAAUACCCCGAAAGCUAAAUGAAUUUAGCUAAGGUCAGAGAUUUAAACAGCCGAGCAUCACCAUAUUUGAGCAUCACAGACUCGUCUUCGCAAUCCACAAUGCGUCUAUCGUUGUAGUCAGAGCACAGCAAGAUUUUUUACAAGACUGACAUCAGUACCUGUGAGGAUUUGGCUCUGCAGAUUAGGUGUAAUUGCAGCUGCAGGAAGGAAGAAUGGGACGCCGGUGGAGACGGGGACUGCACUUCCCAGGGUCCUUCGCGGGAUGGUGACACCGUCGUCGGUUGUCGCUCGAGUGACGUCAUCGUUCAGCGCGGUGAAUGCAGGUGACAGAUGGGAUGAAGGAAGACAGCUUAGCACGUGCCGAACCAGAUUCUGAGGCUUCGAUCCUUGAAGACGUGGGUGAGCGAUGGCUGGAUGCUGGAUAGUGCGUUCAGGAUGGGAUUGUCGUCCAGGUCUGCAGGUUUGAUAGCUGGGUUUGGGCCUCACGCUCUGCGGAUGAAGGCGAUGGUGCGGCAGCUAAAGCUGGAACUGCUGUGACACUGCGGGAACAGUGUUUUCUUUUCUCUGUCUCUUUUCUGGAUACAGAGGAGGAAGAGAGAACUGCAAGUGGAGGAUCUAUGUGGGUAUUUUCCAUAAACAAGGUGAAAGCUCUUGAUAUGAGACACCUCAAGAGCUUGUGUGGAAGGGAACGCGGCUGACAUUGCAGGGACUGGCUUCCUCCACCGACCUUACAUGCUGCGUUUCAGAAAGCAGUCAGUCUGCCAUGAUCCUUGUCGUGGGCAGGGAUCAACAUGAUGAAGAGCAAGGUAGGAAAAGCAAGAACGCAGAUCUGAGUGUUCUCAUGAGUGGGAGCAUGCAGAGCGCAUGCAGCCUUGAGGAGUGGAUGCAGUCUUGCAGAGUGGUUGCAGCAGGCAGAGUAGGCAGGCGAAGCAGUUUAAAUAGGGUGCCAUUUUUAAACUAGCAAACAGGAUGUGAAGAGGGUGAUUACCUGAGCUGUCAGUUGACUGAGGGCUGGACCCUUUAGCUUGACUCCGUGACCUACCUGAACUACCACUAUGCCACAAUAUCCCUUUAAGUGACGGCUCUUUUUUUUUUUCCAGAAAUUAUUUUUUCAGUCAAAUUUCUUUUUAUUGUAAGCAUUUUUUCUGUCCAAAAAAAAAGGAAUAUGGUUUUAAAAUGCCUGCUUAAAGUCUGUUGUCUUGCUCUUGCUCUUUUUCCAUGACUGAUCUGACAAAAAGGGAUUAAAUAUAAAAUAUAAAUAUAAAGCUCAAUUUUUCCAUCCUCCUCUUCAUCCUUUGUUUUCACAUAAGUCAGACUGUAUAUUUAUCAUAAACUCCAAACAAAAGUGUUGUAUUGUCUAAGAACACCCAACUUCUUCCUCUUUUUCGUCAUGUCUCCGUCCUGUCAGUCAGCACUCAGGGGACAGUUUGACCACACAUCACAUACAGACUUCUUUCUCUCUCACUCUUGUCCCUUUAAGCAGGAGUAGUCCUGCAGUCUAAUGAGCUUUACUCAUACACUGUAGCUCAGCUCAACACACGGCUUCACACAGAGCCAUCCAAGUUCACAGGCAUUUACCCAGAAUGGCUCAAAAGACAGGAAAGAAAAGGAAAAAAAAAACAGAAACAAAGAAAGUCUGAGAUGACUCUCCUGGUUAAUUGUCCAUUGCCCUGGGACUCUGGCUUAACCCAUGGCUCAUUAGCCAUGAGUUUGAACCUCCAGUGACAGGCGCGCACGCGCGCACACACACACACACACACACACACACACACACACACACACAUGCAGAUGAUUGUUACAUUUUAUCCCCUAUCUGCAGCUUUUUACAAAGUCAUUUAUGUAAUUAAAUAUUACCAGUUGUUGUUUUAUCGCUCAGUGAUUAAACCCGGUGGCUGAAGUACUAAACCCAGUGAAGAAAAAAAUCACAGAUGCCAGUGAGGAAAUUAACUUAUGUCUCAGUGAAAUGAAAAUGACUCUGUGUGAGGUUUCAAUGGGUCAUUACAGACUAAAUGAGUAUCCUUUGGUGACAAUUUUACAUUUAACUUCACAAUAGCUCUGUAACAAAUAUGGAAGAGGGAGAGAGAGAACCGUAGAAAAUCACAGUGGCUGACUUUCUGUCUUUUACAAACCUGAUGUUGAUGGAAUGUUGCAAACCCUGAAUAUGUUAAAAUAACAGCAAAGGGGCUGUUAGUUUGAUUUCCAUUGUAAGCGAACUGUCACUCCCCCUCCGUCCUGACAUUUUCUUUUUAACAUUAUUUGUGUUCAAGGACUGAACUAUGCAAAGGCAUUUAGAUUAUUUGGAUCCAUUCAGGAAGUAUGUAACUGUUUACUUAUUCAAUCAAUCAAUCUGGUGAUACUAUUCUUCUAACUUGUUGGAGAUGGCAUGAAAAAAUACAUAGCAGCAGCUUGGUUUCAGUGCAAAUACGCAGGACACAACUUUCUUGGAACAAUGAAGAAGUUAUGGUUGGGGAGUGACAGGUAUGGCCAACAAGUAUGUCAACAAGUAUAGUUCUGAAAAUGUGAGUGGUUGGUAACCAUCCAGGCUAAACGGGUAGGAAACACAAAACCAACUAUAAUUUAAAGUGUAUUUAUGUUUUUGGGCUUAGCCUUUUUCACAGUAAAUUUAAUACCACUGUGAAGAGUUUUAUAUGCUUCUGAAACACACUGCAAUUAAUAGCGGUGCUACUAGUUUAUCAACAGUACACAAAGGAAACAGCCUGUUUUCAGUCUUUCAAUUUAUCAAUCAAGCUUGAUUUAUUUAGCACUUUUCAUACAAGUCAAAUGCAAUCCAAAGUGCUUCACAAUGAUUGGAAACAAAUAAGCUAAGAGUGAAAAUACAAAUGAAAUAAAUGACAGAAAAUGGAACAAUUAAAUGGAAAAAAAAAAGAAAAACUGGAUAGGUAGAGACUCAUGCACACCAAAAGCAGUCAAGUAUGUGUCAUGAACACAAUAAAGGGGAUAAAAAUACAAAAGGUUUGGUGUGUCACUUUGUCCACUAGGGGUGCAAAAAUAAAUACAAACAAAUGGUUCCUUAAAGAAGCUUAAAGCCAAAAUGGGAGAAGGUCUGCUCGGAUGGAACAGUGAUGCUUUUUGACAAAAAUAUGUUAAUUCUUUUAUUUGUCAGGGCAUCUGAGGACUGUAAGGUAAAUGUAGAGUUCUUGAGGUGUUACAAAUACGUACGCAGUGACUACUUUUAUGUGAUAUUGUCCAUUAAAACAGCUCUACUAUUUCCUUAGCUUUAGUCAUAUAUCAUUGUAUGACUCAUGACAUCUUAUUAUAUCUUACCUUUUAAGUUUCCUUUAAACUGCUAGAGUGUAUGAGGAGCGUGGGAUUAUCAUGGAUCCUGUCCUUAUUGAAUGGAGCUCAACAAAAGAGGUGUUCUAAAUACAAUGGUCUCCAGUUUUACACUUGCACUGAGACAACCUGGAUGAUAAAAUAUAAUAACCCCAACACUUACCUGACUGUGUCAAUCAAAAUGUACAAGAUAACAGCAAAAUUCAGGGUACAGGUGCUGUAUUACAGUAUACUGUAAAAGUUUAUUGAUAAAAAAAGGCCAAAUGCACUAUUGCUUUAAUAUUUAAGUAAUACUCAGUAAAAUAUGUGCUACUGAAAUACAUAUUUUGUUAUUCAUAUUCUGGCUCAGCAAGAGUGAGAGCGGGGCAAAUGGAAAUGUGGAAAUGUUCAUUCACUUCAGCUUUUAUCAAGAACUACAAGUUAUCUUGCCAGAUAGGAUGAAAAGAUGCUGAAUCAAACCACAAAUCCUUCUUCUAACUGGCAGUUCUAUCGAUACAACACCCUGAAAGGCCGAAUUAUUGAAAUACAAGGUCAAAAAUCUUUAUAUGUCAAUGCGAAGUAUCAGAAGAGAAGUCAGUACUCAGCUUCUCUCAGUGAUCCAGUCCAAAGGUCAAUUGGCCUUUGAUGCUUGGUAACAAGCAAAUGCUGACCUCCUAUUUACUGUGUGCGCUCUCUUCGAGGACCUGACUGAGCCUUUGACAAAGCUUUCAAAAGGCUGUCUGAAUAGUGAAUGAUAGCAGCUGAAGAUGUCUUUCAUUAGGAAAAAAAACACUUCUUUCCCACUUCUACUCAUGCAGGGUCACAGAUUUAUUUUUCUAGUGUGUGUUUGAAUAAAAACAAAAGACUAAAAGAAGUACAGGAAGAAUUCCUGUUACCCUUGAUGAAGGAUAGUGGUUUUAUUUUCUCAGCUGCUCAAAUCAAACUCAGGCUGACAGCUACACACGGGAGAGAAGAAAUUUCUUUACUCCGACAAGUACAGAACAAUGGCUGGUCUUAACUUAAGGUUGUAAGGUCUUGAAUUACUACUAUUUUUUUUUCUCAGAUCAAGUUGAGUUUUGCUGUAAAAAACAAAACAAAAAAAAUGUGGUUUCAAUAUAAUCAAGUGUUAUUUUCCAUUACAGAUAUCCAAGCUUUGACCCUGGUGCCCCACUCUGCAGGCCAGAGUCCGAGAAGUAGAGAGGACGAUCGCGGACCAAGUGUGUGGGGCAGCAGAUUGCAAUGCUCACAAGAAAGCUAAUUAUGAAAGUUGCUUUCAUCAUGUCCCCAAAGACAUUAGUGUCUGAGAGCUGAAUAGCUCAUAUGUUACCUGCCACUAAAACAACUGGCAAUGUUAGGCUGCAAACUAGCAUGAAGAGAAGUGUACAGAGCAGCGCUGUCUCCACCCACGACUCAGAGGUGAAUUGCUAAUGAGCUACUGGAGCUCUGCAAAAAAAAAAAAAAGCCCAUGAAAAUGACACAGGUAAAGUGGCUAAAAACUUCAUACUCACAACUUAAAGACCACUGAUAAGACUUUAAGUAGGAAACAAAAAUGAUCGGAGUGGGACUUCAGGAGACAUGUUUUUAUUAGGCAUGUCAAGAGUGCAGGUCAUAAAAAAUGACCUUCAACUUGGAGUUUCAUAUCACUUCUAUAAUUAGACUUGAUAAAACUUGAUGAAAGACUUUUUUCAGCUAAAGAACUGAACGUCAUGUUAGCUCAGCUCGCAGCCCCAAAACCCCAGCUUAAGCGCUUGAGACUGUGUUGUCUAGAGUGUCAGAUAUAGUUUAUAUUUAUAUACAGUAUUUUUAUUUUCCAUUUUAUUUACUUGUGAGCUAAUGUUUUCUUUUUUUGUUUUCUUGUAAUGACAACAGCAUUUCAGGUCUGAUUCUGAUAAAAGUCACAUAGAGUCUGACCUUUUCAAAUUUAGAUUUGUACCAUUAACAUUAGGGAUCCAGUAACCCGAUUUUGAAAUUGCAGUCUGGACAUCAGGAUGGGUGGAAGUGGGUGUCAGUCAAUGACAGCAAACACUGAAAACAGCUGCAACAGUGGUAGUCAGACAAGGGACAGAGAGGUGUUAGAUUGCACAACAAUGAAAGCCUCCACAUUGACAUAGCAGCUAUUUUUCCACAGAAAGCCAUCAUCCAAAUUUUGACUCGCUUUCUUCUGUCCCUCCUCCUCACUUUUACUUUUCUGGCUUCCACCACACAACAAUUACUCCAGUGGCCACCUUGUAUCAUAAUCACUGUGCCUGCAUUUGAGGUCUUAGUCAUAGUUCUUUUGAGCAUGUGGGACAGUUUAUGCACAGUUCACAUGAGACUCUAAGGUAAAACAGCCAACAAGCAAACAAAAUAAAGCUUGUGGGUGAUAAAAUGGAAUUAAGCAUGAAAGCCUGUAGUGUGAAAGUAGGCCCAGUUUUAAUGUAAAACUGCUUAGAUCAUUUUGACUUUCACAUUAAGCUCUCAGCAGACCUCUACAGAAACAUUGCUUCUUGGUAUAAAACUUUGGAAAAGAUUAACACAGGGUAUCAGAGACGAGUAAUCUACAAUCAAGCUUUGCACUACUACGAGAUAGGCUUAAAUUGCUGCAACUCAGCAGGCAGCCUCGGCUGAAAGUUGAGUUGAGUUAAAUUGUGAAAAUGAUUUGCGGCCUUUUACGGCUGUUGAGUAAUAGUACAGCUGAAGAUUUUAAGUCAAAGCAGUGUCUGUCAAAAAGUAAGCCGUCUCCACACUGUAAAGAAUUUCACCAUAAAAAGUAAAUCGUGGUAGCAUAGACUCCUGUAUUUUACUGUUAUUUAUAGUGCAUGGACCGUGCUUCAUUUUAACAGUACAAAAACAUGAAUAGACUCCAGUAUUUUUUGAUAGUAAAUUCACAGGGUUUUACUGUAUUGAUUUUUUUUUUUUGUAUACAUCUUACCCACAAAUGAUAAGAAAUUAUACUAUUUAUGCAUAUAUCUACACAUAGAAAAUACAAAGUAAUGAAUAUUUUAUUCCACGGAGCUGUAAUUCAUUUCCCCUAAUGUCCACUAAUGCUAUUUGUUCAGCUGAGAACAAAACAGAUUAUUAAACAUGUGCCAUAAAUACAUUACAAUAUUACUAUCAAAACUAAUCUUAAACCUCUUGAGGGGUUGCUACAGCAUAAAAAAUUAAUACAUUUUAGCAAUUUAUUCUAGUGUCGUAUGUAUCUUGCAUUGCUACAACAAUCACUAGGAAGUCUGCAUCCUUUCAAAAACAAAAGCACAAUCAAUUAUAAAAAAAGGGGUUAUAGACCAUUAUGAACUUAAUGUAGUUAGAAAGGCAAAAUUAAAGUAUCACAUGGACUGUCUCAUUUUAAAGGUCUAACCAAAGUAGGUUAAUCAAUGCAGCCUUUACUAACACGUUUACAAGCUGAGGUAUAGAGAAUCAAGGAAAGCGUGUCAGAACUGCACCACGAUUUCAUCUUAAAAUGUAGCUUUUGUAAAUACACUGCUCAACAGUAAACGCUAAAAAGAGAAGUGGAAAAACAUACACCAGUGAUGCUUCCUUUAUUUAAUCUGUUUAGGGUUUAUUAAGAGAAAGGUCAUCACACAAAAAAGCAAUAAAUAAACAUUUAAAAAUAUUUAAAUGAAAUCUCCUUAAUGUCAUUGGUUUCAAGGCUGCUUUUUAAAAAAUUAAGUGUGUGAGCAGAGCUUAAUGGAUCUGAGGACAGGAAGCUCAGAGAAAGAUGUAAGGUCAUGUUUGUGAAGAAAUACCCUUGUGAUGUUGACAGGUUAAUAUUUGUGUCAUACAUGAAUAGAUGUAUGAGGAGGAAAAAUAGCUGAAAACAAGGUAAUAAACAGGAGUGACAAAUAAAUACAAACAUAGCUCACAAUAGACCUAUGUGUUGUUUUCACACAUUCAAAAAAGUGUUAAUUAAUACACUUGGUAGUGGUGGGAGGUUCGUUUGAGAGUUGACUUCAUUAAAAUUGAAUUAAUUAAUUUUUGUAUAUUGCCCACACUAAUCAUUACUUUCCACCACCAUCCAGGUUUCAGUUUUCAAAUCAGAUUGUACCUUUCAAUAGAGAUGUAAACCCUGUGUUCCAUCAGUCACCAUGGGAAACGUCAACUCUCUGCCCAACAAAAGCGUUGAGCUUGGAGAUAUUGGUGAAGACUUAGAAAGCAUACCGUGAGUGCCGCAUCCUUUGCUUUACUGAAACCUGGUUGAAUCAAAACAACUCGGAUUCAUUGUUGUUCUACCUUCACUCUCAUGAGGUCAGACAGAGAUGCUAAAGCUCGUGGCAAGAAGAAAGAAGAGGGGCUGGCUGGCAGUUAUGUGAUGAUGGAAAUCUUCACACAUAACUGUCAUGUAGAAGUUGUGUUGUCCAGAUAUUGAACUGUUGGCAGUUGCUCUUCAGCCAAAUUAUGUUCCAAGAGAAUUUAGUCAUUUCAUAAAAAUAUUUGUAUACAUCCCAACCAAGGCAAAGGCUUAAGUUCCUUGUAACGUUCCCUGUGAUACUGUUGCUAGGACACAGAUUCAACAUCCUGAGGCACUUGUGCUAAUAUCAGGAAACUUCAACCUGGAUUUACACAGUUUGUUAAUUGUCCUACCAGAGUAAACAAAAGCUUGGAUCUGUUGUAUGCAUUGAAAAGUAAAUAAAUGAAUUAAACAUUAUCAAGCUUGAUGUUUGUGCUAAGUUGGGCGAGUUUUUUGGGCAUAUGUGGGCCAUCAAACGUUAUUUAUUUGGACAAAAAGGAGGAGGGAAGGAAACAAGGAGGAAAGAAAGAUGGAAGGAAGGCAUAAAUCUUUCUUUUGGUUCCAGUAGGCGUCCUAAAAUAUUGAAUAUGAUUUUUUGAAAUCUGACUUUUAGGCUUAGUGAAGAGGUUUUUUAGUUUUCACAGGGAGGCACAACCUAUUGCCACUGCAGCGUGGCUCUGCUCUUGAACCUUUGUAAUUUUGAUGCUUGAUUCACCUUACAAUUUUUUUUUCUCUUUUGAUAUUCAUUUGAGCAUGGCCUGAUAUUUUUAGAGGGAGUUUCCAAAAAAAUACAGAGUGAAAUAAUUCUUCGUAGUAGCACAGGAGAUAAAAUAGAAGCAGUGGAGUGGAGAAGAACUCAAUCUUCUGAUGCCAUUCAUGUGACCAGCCAGGACUUGGCAGCCUCAUAUUCAAACUAAAUACAGUCUGGUAGGUCUUGUAUAAUGGAGCGUGACUGUGAAUGGAGACAGUUGACAGAUAAUGAAUGUGGGUAAGAGAGAGAGAGGAUGGAAGAAGGAGCAUCAUGAGCAAAAGAGGAAGUCAUUCCUUCACUUACAAGCUGGCAUUCAGUCACAACCGCUCGCUGACUUUUCACGCUCAUGCUUGAGUUAAAUGCACCAAGUGAAGGGGUGACCAGAGGGAACAAGGAUGAGAGAAAGAGGCUCAAACAGGAAAAGGCAGUUAGACUAUAGCGUGUGUAGCAGACUCUAGUAGAACUAGGAGUGUGUAAUAGAGGAAGCAUGAACAGCAAAAACCACAAAAAACAAUUGGAUUCAGUCAACCACUUGUGGACUUGUCAAAUUAAUAGUCAUGUUAAAUAUGGCUGCACAGGCAGCUCAUUGUAAAGACUGUCUACAGUAUCUGGGCCAUCAUAAAGAACCAUUAAGACUGGCUAAUAAAGAAAGUUCUCUCAGCCCAGAAAAUGAAGUCAUCAGAGCAGUUAGAGGAUGGCCUAAGGCGGGGAUGGAAAAGAAAAGACGGAAAAUGAAGGAAGUAAGUGGAGAUAAAGAGGGAGAGGGAGAAAAAAAAGUGUGCGUGUUUGCAGAAAAGAAAAGCAAGUGAAAGAACGAGAACAAACUGUCCCAGAGGACCACUCAUCCAGGAUCUAAUAUAGUCGUAUUCCCUCUGUAUGUCUGUUAAUUACUUCCUCUGUAGCCAUUACGGUGAGCAGUGUGGGCUGGUAGGAAUACCUGGAAAAUGAACUGCAAGCAGAGCGAACUGUAUCUGGGUUAAUUACUUUAUCUGCUAGUGCGACAAUGAAGAGCUCCAUUUCUUACUGAGUGCCUCAAGCUUAUGUUUAACAUGGCUGUAUGUCACAAAAUGAGGAUGAACUCAGGAAGUGUUAUAAAAUAUGAAAAUAAUAUAACCCCUUUUUAAAAUGAUUAUAGACUAAUGUUGAAUAAACUCCAUGGUGUCAGUCUAAUAACUGUAGUACUCUAAGUACUUUGUUCUCUAAUUAAACAGCUUCUGUAAAGGUUGGGGUAAAAAAUAACUGAGAUGUAUUUUUUUUUUUUCUUUUAAUAUUCACUCUGUUAGGGCUUAAGGCAAGUACUUAAUCCCAACAUCAAAUUGUUUAAAUUACGUUACUUUUUGCAGUACUUUUGCAGUACAGAUAAAUGUCAAGGUACCUCAAAGUUUAUGGAACUCAUGAAGUAUUUGUCAAAGCUAUAGACUGUAUAUACUGUGGACAACUUGGCUGCGCCUUCUGUCAUCAUACGAAUUUGAAGCCGAAUUGCUCUUGGUAUUUUCUGGAUUUUCACUGUAAAUUGCUGUGAUGCACUCGGCUCGUAUCCCCCAGAUGAUCUACGCAAUCCCUGAACGCCCAAAGGCUGUAUCAAGUGUCAAUCAUAGAAAACAUGAACCCCCUAAUGACUUUUAAAAAUGGAGCUGCACAGAAAAAAGAGGACUUGAGCACAAACCAGUCUUACUGUAACUACAUGUCAACAUCACAACCAGGGAGGAGAAAAAUGUAUAUUCAGUGUAAUUAAUUUCUAAAGUUUGUCCACAACUCCAUGGGGAUUGUUGGAGAAAGUGGGAUUUAUGACCUAUACUGCAGCCUGUCACCAGAGGGUGCUGUUCUCACGGUGGCGUCACCCAGCUAGGAGGCAGACAGUGUCCAUUCUAUAUACAUGGUCUAUGGUCAAAUAUCACAAACAACAGGAAGAAUUUAACAGAACAGUGAUUAAACACAUACCCAAAUCUAAACCAAGGAUCAAACUCGGCUACUUUACACAAAAUCUCAAAUGUAGAGAGCGAUGCGGUUGCUUUCACCUAUUAGUGGUUCAUCUUUAAGAGAUGUUUGCUGAGUAAUGGUUACCUUAAUUCCAUAACUACUUGAGGUAACUAGAAAUCUGUCUUUUCCAAUCGCUCUACUGAUGCAAUAGACUAACCUCACUACCCACUUGAUUCAACAACUGACUGCUGUCUCAUAAAUGAAACUUUUUGCUCUUCCAUAGGUUGGAUGUAGUAGAGUUGUGAAAAAAAGAUGUGCUGUGACUAUUUCUAUACAGAGCACCAAAGAGACUAUGAGAGAGUUCUCUGAGCUUUUGUUUCCUGCAUUGAAACUUGUACAAGACACAAGAUGCAAACUCUUCAUGAGAAUUCUUCACUUUGUAGGACUGGCCUCAGUCUCUGUUAGCUGUUUUGUUUGAGUGAGAGUGACACAACAGCUGCCAGUACAGAAACUGAUAAAAAGGUUGAGAACUUUUCACAGGACAUGCUGAGAGAGCACCCAGAAUAGCAAAGCUGGCACACUAGUAUCCCUGCUUAGCAAGGUGCCAUUUGAGCGAAGGGAUUCUGCUUAUAGACUUAUGGUGGGAACCAGUUGUGCUCCUUACUGACACCUGUCCAGGUAGGCAGAAAACUGAACAUUGUGAGUCUGGUGGAUAGGUUCUGAAUAAAAGGCAAAAAGACAGACUGCCUUCUGAUGUUUCCUGUAGGAAGCCAUUCACUUUCAUCCAAGGGCUAAUUGACCUUGUUCAAGUGCUGCUGAAACACCAGUUCCCUCUUGAUACUAACACUGCAUCCAAGGAAUAGUUCCACCAAAGAUAGCUGGGAUUGAUUUGUAAUUUUCUCCUAUUUUUCAUAUCUUUCUGUAAAACUGUCACAAAGCAGUGCGAGGAUGUGUGUACAUUUAGUAUGUGUAUCAUAAAUUCAAAGCCAAUACUUUUGCCAUCUUGGGGGGAUUCUGUUGACAAUUCUAGUGGUUUUCAUCAAACCGGGCUGGUUGAUGUAAGCUCUGUCAUUUAGCGACAUGCUUUCUUGCUCUCAUCAGUCACAUACAAUUAGCCGACAUUCAUCACUCCCUCUCUCUCUGCAACUAACCCCCUACCAAGUGGCUUGUGCUGGCCUCCAUACGUCUUUCCUCCCUCAUCCUCUCCCUGUCAUUGACAAUUGAUCUCAUAUACAACAAUGUGCUGACGGCAAUCUCCACUGUGCACGACAUGAAAGAGUGUGAGCAUGAAAGAGCGAGCUGUAACAGAGGGAGAGUAGGAGUUUGCUCUAACAAUACCACGCUUUAUUAAAAUGUCAAACACAAAGGACUAACAGAAAAAAAGGGAUAUUACUUGUACCAGAAGCAUAUUAGGCAGAAGUAGAAUUCUUGGAGUGAGAUAAAAAUGUCAGUAGAACAGAACUGAUUCUCACCUACUAUGUAAAAGCUUGCUGGUAUGAUCACAUGCCUUAAAAAAAAAGGUGAUAGACUGCUUUCACAGGUUAAAUGAAAUUAGAUCAAGAAUGUUUUUUAUCCCUGUUUCACCGAAUUGAGUCGCUGAACAUUGAAACUGGUCGAGGCUGAAUUCAGCUGCUUUGAUUGGUUUCCACAGAAAAGAAAAAAAAGAUAAUCAAUACCCUACAUGGUGUUGCUAUAGUUGAAGAUAAUAUUCACCCUUUUGUUGAAGAUAAGGAUGCUACAUUUUAUAAAGUAGUCCCAUCAACACGGAUAGCAUGGACAAAAAAAAGUUAAUUUUGACAGCUAUUCUAGAUUUAGUCCUAGUCUUAAUUUUUGGGCUAAAAUUACCUUCAGCUAACCUCAUUUUGUAGUCAUUUUUGCCCUUGAUAGUUUUAGUCAAGUUCAAGUAAAGAAAAAUUUCAAAGCAGUAACUUUACUUAAAGACCCACUCUGGUGAAAUCUUUUUGAAUUUUUUGUCUACAUGUUCAUAUGAAAUUUUUCUGAAGGUACAGGACAUAUCAAGAAAAAUGAGUGUGAAAUUACAUUUCUGAGUAUUUCUGCAUUCAUAUCCCUGUGAAUCUCUGGCAGACUCAAACAGCAGGCUGAGAUACAGUGAGAUUUCCUAUGAAGCAAAUCCAAGCUCCACCCCCCGAAGCCCCGCUAUGCAGGCCAGACUAAGAGAAAUAGAGAGAAUGAUCUCGGAACAAGAGUGUGCAUUAGAGGAUUGCAAUGCUUGUAAGAAAGCUAAUUAUGAUAUUAACUUUCACCAUGUGCCCAAAGAUAUGUGUCUGAGAGCUGAAUAGCUACUAUGUUACCUGCUACUUCUACUACACCAACAAUGUUAGGCUGCAAGCUAGCAUGAAGAGGAGUGUGCAGAGCAGUGCUGUCUCCACCCACAACUCAGAGGCAUAGUGCUAAUGAGCUACUAGAGCUCUGCAGAAGAAAAGCCCUGGAGAACAACACAGGUGACGUGAUUUUGGCUAAAAACGUUAUCAUCACAAUUUAAAGACCACUGAAAACACUGUAAGAUGUUUAAAAAAAAAAAAAAAUAGAUCGGAGUUGGACUUUGAUGUUUUUAUAUGGAAUUAACAUGGCAGAAAAUAUAAGAAGAAAAAUCAAGCUUUAUUGAUUUCUCUAGCAACUUGUCUGAAUCAUUUCAUUACCACACUAUACUUGCUUGGGGUCUCUACUAAAAAAGAACUGUUCAAAUGGACAUAAAUGUUUUUUUUUUUUAAGGAUAGAACACCCAUUUUAAUUGGAAAAUGUGGCUUUACGUGAAAACAGCUAAGAACUCUGGAUAAAAAGGCACAUUUCCAAGGUUUCCAAAGUGAAUUAAAUGCAACAAUGCUCUAAAACUGAAGUAUUGGGUGCUAUUACUGCAAAUAAAGGCAUCAGCAGACAUAGGCCAUAAGCCAUUUGUUUUUUUAGCUAACAAUGCUUCUAAUUUUGGAAAGUAGAUGAGAAGCAUAAAUGGCCUUGGACUGGCAGUGAUCAACAGGCCACCAACUAUGCAACCUGUCAAUCAAGAUGGACACAGAUCUAGUUGUUUGAACAUUGUCAAGCAUGGCUCCAAAGCUUAAAGAUGGCAACCACAAGGUCAGUCUAAAACAGUAAUCCACCAAUUAGUGGCUGAUGUAAAUGAGGCAAUAACACCUUUUCAUAUUUGGCUUGUGAUACAAACAUAAAUUUUAUUCAGAAUAUAGACAGAACAUGACUACAAAAUUAGCUGGCAGUACUAAAAGCAUGAGUUCAUGCAAUUCGAUCACAAGUUUUGGUGACUAAGCUGUAUAAAAAAAAAAACUUAUUUGCUUUUCAGAGCCACUGCUGAGGUGAAAAAAAUAAAGCUCUCCCCAUAAAUGUAAUAAAUAAAUGACAAGAGAUUGUGAGGGAGUACUUAGCCUGAUUUGAAAACCCAACCAAUUAAGUAAUAAGACCUUGGGAACUUGUGCCUGCUGUUCUCUUACCAAAGCAAGGUGUGCUGUAUGAGUAGACUGCAGAAACACGACUUUCGCACAAAGCAGAAAUGUGGAAAUGAGAAUGUGUGAGGCAGACAACAUGGAAUGAAAACAUUGAAAGUUUUGAACUUUUGGGGGUUUCUGGGAACUUUUCUUCCCUCUUGAUUUCUCUUCCAGCAGGGAAGAAAAAAAAUCACAAGCCAGUAUUUUUUUCUUGAGUCUCCAACACAUCACAGAGAUAAUAAAUAGUACAGGGACAUGUUAAUGGAGCAAGUCAGGAUGUUGGCAAAGUCUAUGGAAAGCAAUCAUCCCAUCUGAUAAAAAUACAACAAAGUUUAAAAAGUAAAAUACAUAUGGCGCUUUCUCUCUUCAUCUUUGUUUCUUUACGUGACGCACCCCCCUGUUGUUCAGUGUCUUCCUACAUCACUCCGUCUCUAUACUGUUGAAAAAGAAAAGGGAUCAGGAGACUAGGAACUGUCUACCAUCUUUAAAGUACAAAAACAAAGUCAACAAAUGCACAUUCACAAGCUUAUACAGGCACACAGACACAAAUAGACAUAACCACAUGAUGUCUCACUGUACAGACAGAAAAGAACAAACUCCUCUCUCUUUACCUUGAAAGCACACAUCAUCCUUCAGCCCAAUUUUCACAUCACAGUAAAGGCAAGUUUUUGUGUGUUUUUAUCUUGGAAGAUUUUACACAUAUACAAUAUGUACGAGUUUUCCUACAAUAGCAGAACCCUAUAGUACAUGCUGUUUUAUCCUUUGUUAGGUUAUUAUGCAGUUUUCUAGUGAGCCUCAGCCUUACAGGAAAAAGAAACACUGAAGUAUCCAGAGAAGGAAACUUGAUAGUUAAUCCAGUACGGGGGAAAAAAAGCACUGCCAUAAUGGUACAAUUGACCCUGCCCACUUAAGUUACUGUUACUAACGCGGACAAACAACCAGAGCUGAGCAGAGGAAGAACAAAAGGAAGAUUGAAUGACAGGUGUGUACCAGCAGCAGAGUCAGCACAGGUUCCAAUUAACUAUUUUUUUAUAAGCCAUUUGUAGAAAUGAACACUGAAACGGCCCCAAUAUUUGGCCAAAGUGAUAAUCCACUCACCCCUAAUUUUCACAGAUUUUACCCAGAUUAAUCUAAAGAAGUAGGAACAGCAGUUAAUAAAAUAAUGCAUUCAAACAUAUCUGUGCCGUCCCAUGAAAAACACAUAUCUCCACUUUUAGCGAUCUGGACAUUUGACAAUAUAUGCAUGGUCCAAACAACCUAACCUUUCCUAACAACCCGUAGCUUUGGUCAUUCAAAUGACUGAUGGAAAGACCUUUUAUAAAAUCAUCUUUUCAACAAGUAUCGCCAUUGGGUGUCAGACGUGUUGACAAAACACGUAUAUCCCGCCCUGGCCCUGCGUUGUCAUGUCAGCAAACAGACUUUACACUGUGACAGACUCUUUACAGUAGGGUGACCAUAUGUCCUCUUUUACCUGGACAUGUCCUCUUGUGGGGGGCUGUCCAAGGAGAGGGGGAGUUUAUAAAACCCUUCAACUGUACUUUCCCUUCACAUCACAGACCACUGUAUUUACCAUACACGUUCAAUGGCUCAUUUGGAAACACACUCUAAGACACCAAACCCCGGAACGGAGUUCAGCGCAGUUCCCUCUGCUGCUCUGAUUCACUCCUAGCUCCUAUUGGUCCUAUGCCUAUAGAGCGCCUUAUUUAAAACUGCACUAACCCAGCCUCUUCCUCUGCUUCGACAGCUAACCAGCAAGCUGCUGCAACCGUUCUGCAUGCUCCCACUUUUAAGAACACUCAGAUCUGCGUUUUUGCUUUUUUACUACCUUGCUCUUCAUCAUGUCGAUCGCUGCCCACGACAAGGAUCCAUGGCAGAAUGAAUGCUUUUCUAAAACGCAACAUCAGCAAUGCAAAAUCGAGGAAGACUGUCCUUGCAAUAACAGCUGCAUUCCCUUCAGGAGGAGUUCUCCUCUGCAAAGUAAAACUUCUAUUUCUCCCAGCUUCAAUGAGCGGCCGGAGUCUAGGCUCCUGGAAGUCCUUUAAAAAUAACAUCACAGCUCCAGAUGGUGUCUCACAUCAAGAGCUUUCACCUUGUUUAUGGAAAAUAUCCACAUAGAUCCUCCACUUGCAGUUCUCUCUUCCUCCUCUGUAUCCAGAAAAGAGACAGAGAAAAGAAAACACUGUUCCCGCAGCGUCACAGCAGUUCCAGCCUCAGCCGCCGUGUCAUCGCCUUCAUCCGCAGAGCGCGAGGCCCAAACCCAGCUAUCAAACCUGCAGACCUGGAUGACAAUCCCAUCCUGAAAGCACUAUCCAGCAUCCAGCCAUCGCUCACCCACAUGUCUUCAAUGAUUGAAGCCUCAGAAUCCGGUUUAGCUCAUGCUAAGCUGUCUUCCUUCAUCCCAGCUGUCACCUGCAUUCACAGCGCUGAAAUAAAUAAAUACAUUUUUGACAAAGUGUUCCUGACUGAAAUGAAUAUAUCGUUUAUAAAUGCAACUUCGUGUGAGUAUUAUUCAGUGUCAGCAAGAGGCUUGGUUAAGUGUCCUUUUGGUCGUUCAGAAUAUGCGGUUAACUGAGUUAGGAGCCGAUAAAACACUUGACCUGACCUGGAGAACCCUAAAAAAGUUGCACACACAACUCCGCCCGGCAUAGUAGUGUCCUCUUUUUGGGGAUUCAGAAUAUGGUCACCCUACAUUAGAGUCCAGGGUAAUGCUACACUGAUGUCCUCGCAUCGACUGAUGCUGACCUUAAACGUCAUUGGAGCACAUUAUUGAAAAAAAACAAACAAAAAAAAAAACACGCAUGUCCACUAUCACUCAAAACACAAAGCAUGUAAGUCUGUUUAAAAUAUCAAACAGGUCACUGAUGACUGUGUAAAUAUGGAUUUUGAUUUCAGGUCCUACUUGUGUCUAAUUAAGGCGUUUGGGUUUUUCUCUCUAAGGUAGUUUAUGAUUGAAAAUGUUUUUUAAUGUUCCUGAAAACAAACAAACAAAAAAAAAAAAUCACAUUUUGGAGAUACAUUUUUUUUAUCGGACAGUGUAGAUAUGCUCGGUAAACUCCGUGAGCUCAUGUCUCAGUACCAAAACCAGGCCUCUGAAACCAAAUUUGAAAGUAUACUUAAGACCACUUGCAAUGUGACACACAUGGACUAUUGUCAAACCUGAAGUGCCUGAAUGACACAAGAGCCGUAAAAGAACAGCCUCUUCCAGCUUUGAUUUUGUCUGGUUCCUGAGUAGAGCUCUGCACUGUGUCUUGACAGCAAAAUUGUUUUCAGAGACAAAUGAUGGUACUCUGUUUCUCAUGCUUCAAUGUAGAAAGCUUUGUCUCCAGUGUUCCACACUGGUGCUGCCAUUGUUACCACAGCAACAAAUGCAUAUUAGCAUCUUCCACAAAAAUCUUUCUGAUCACUGUCAAAAUACAGCAGGGAAGUUUUGUUUGAAAGAUGUAUGACUGGCAUGAAUCUGAUUUUAUGGAAAUCAAUACAAAGCCACAUUGUCUGGACUUAGAAUGGGAUAAUACAAAUGUGGACUUGUGUAUUUAAAAUGAAAUAAUCUUUGUUUAAAUCUUAAAUUAAUCCACUGAUUGACUUCACUCAUGGCUGAGAUUAUCUAGUAUUUGCAGCCACCUGGGUCUGACUCCCCAAAUGUGUGUGAACAUGAAAAUGCAAUGAAACAAGGUUUUUCUUCCCACAAAUGAAUCAUCAAGUAACUAACUGAACAAACUUAGUCACAAAAGCAUUUUUUCUUUUUCUUUUUUUUUUUAAUUGGUCAAUAAGCAUUAUCAUAGUCUGGUGUCCUGAGAAUCAACCUUGAACAUACUCAGCUUAUUUUUUUGACCAUUGUGUGCAGUAUUCAUUUGGAGGCUCUUGUGGCUUUGCUCUGCCCAAACAGGACACGCCACAAUUCUCCUAAGCACUAUGCAUGACAAAUUCUAACACACAAUUGAAUGCCUGAAUGAACACGAAACCUAAUCUUGCAUAGCCAGACGUCUGCCUCAUCAAGUUCAGUGAGUCUGGAGAAACUGAGGCACAAAAGUUGGUUAAAAAGAGCAGGGACACAGUGAGCUGUCUUUGUAACUUAUACCAGUAAAAAAGAAAAAAUAAUACAAAGAACUUGUUUGUCCACAAACCAAAACCAAUCAAAGGUGCAGUUUCUUCAAGAAUAGUGAAGGUAAUAGAUGGGAAAGGACAGUGAAGACUGGACAAACUACUGAAACUUGACAGGAGCAUGACAUUUGGGGAAGAAAAAGGCUCUGACAAAAAAGGAAAGUAAUGAGCCUGUCUGACAGCUUGGUCUAUUUGGGAGGUCAGGAGGUCGAGUUUUGACACAUAAUUCAUCUUCCAAUAGUUACAAGCAUCAGUUAUGGGUUUAUUUUUGACAUUUUGUUUAACAUCCAUAGAAGUAAUGGGCUAGGGGAAAAAAAAACACUUUUGUCGCAGUUGGUGUUUUUUUUUUUUUUUUCCAAUCCUGUGUCCAUCGUGAACUCAAUAUCAAUUCUAGCAUCACGUCAGUGCUCUGGACUGAGCUGUUGCAUUGCAAUAGUAAAGAGAACAUGAAAAAAAGCGGUCAAGUAUCUGAAUUCAGAAAUGUUCUGAUACUACCUUACCUUUCUGAAACCAAUUUCAAUCUCAAGACUUGAGAGUUGGCAGAUAUACCCCUCCAAUACCAGAGGGAUAAAAAAAGAUAAUAUCAGUGAAAAGUACUUACUGCUGCUGACACAGUACAAGGAUCACGUCCAUUGGUUCUCAUCUUUGGACGAAAACAUGGAAAAUGACCAAUAUGACUUUGGAGCACAGUAAAAUUUCAUAGCUACCUCAAGUCACCACCACAUCACCAUCCUUAAAGACUGACCACUGCUGGCUCACUUCACACACACACACACACACACACACGCACACACACACACACACACACACACACACACACACACACACACACACACACACACACACACACAGUGCUGUGGUUUACAGUAGCUUUGUGUUGUGGUUUAGUUUUCUUCAGUUUGGUUGAUGGCUCUUUAACUUAGCCUCUUGUGCACUUGAACAUCCUGAUAUAAGAGGUCUUGUAUCUUCCAAAAAAUUGAAAGUGAAAUGUUGUUUAAACAUGUUUCCAUUGUUUUCUACCAAUCAGAGAUGGGAAUUGAGAGACAGCUCCAACUUGUCCAAGCCAUCAAUAUCAUUUGGCUUUAUGCUCCUUGUUUCCCUUCUCAAUGCCUUCCUUUUAAUUGAGUUUGCCUUGCAAGACAUUGGCAUGACAUAUUGCAAGAAAUAUCUCUGGGGUUACACUCUGUGUUAUUUGUGUUAUCCAGCCAGGGGCGUUUUUUUUUUUUAAAUUUUUAUCCAUAGUGAUACUCAGCAUUUUUAGAGUCCAAAUCCAACCCCUCAGAAACCAAAGUAAUCUGAGGUGAUUUAUGUCUCUAUUUUGGUAAAUUAGUGUCAUUUCUGUUGUUAGCUGACUAUACUAGAUAGAGGCUACCAUCUUUGUUUUGGUUUGUCAUUUAAUCAGAGGCUGUAUAGGCAGAGAUCCGGUCAAAACCAGGCUUUUCUGUCUCAGCAGAGCAUCAAAAUGUAACAUGUUGAAAACCUUCAUAGGCCUACUCUUCUAGGGAGUCAAACAAGAACUGGAUUGAAGAGCAACAUUUUGAUCGAUCAGAACCAUGUACUAAACACAGCAUUUUUUUUUUGUUUGUUUGUUUCAAAUGAAACUUCAUAUGUUUGGUAUGUGAUGAUUGAACGGGAUAAUAAGUCGAAUAUUCAUACCUUCUACAGUGAAGACUCGUCACUGUUAUUCUUGGGAUUUCUGUUGGAUUUCUAGACUCUGCGUCAUAGUUAUGACAUGAGGACUCUUUUGGAGAGCAGUGGCAUAGUGAGGGGGAGACAAGCAAGAGAGGGAUGGGAAGAGGCAGAGUGAGCUGCAGAAAGAGAAAAGAUAAGAGUAUUUAGCCCAUUAUUUCCAGGGGCUAGGUCAAAAUGAAUAAGAGUCAGUGAGAGAAUGAAAAGUCUUCUUCAAAGAGCCAAGAAGACUUGGCUAUUAUUCUGCGUCUGAAAAGUGACACUCCACUCUAAGUGCUCUGCUUUAGGAUGGCCUUGGGAGGUUAGGACCAUGAAUGUCAAAGUUGAUUUCACACUCUGUAACUCUCUGGACUGUCUGAUAGAUGUGGCAGCUGUGAGCACAUAUACACACUGACAUAGGACAAUACACACAAAUGUCUGUAAGCAAAUACCGCGUGCACAAAUUUACAGGCAUGCAUGAGAAUAUUUACAGAGGGGAAGGCAAACAGGGAUGCUUUUAUGCAUCGUCAUAUAAUCUGGUAUGGGCAGUAACACAUGCACGUCUUCAUAUUACACACAUGCAUCAAGUAAAUGCUGUCCUGCUGCCACAAAAAAGAACAGAACCCUAAAGCAAGCUGAGACAAGUUGGUUUU